GUCUAUGGCCAUACCACCCUAAGCGUGCCUGAUCUAUCUCAUUUGAUCCUGGAAGCUAAGCAGGGUCGGGCCUGGUUAGUACUUGAAUGGGAGAAAUGCAGAACACCAGGCCGCACGCAGACC
rnacentral:rRNA from 1 species